GAUGAAGAACGCAGCGAAAUGCGAUACGUAAUGUGAAUUGCAGAAUUCAGUGAAUCAUCGAAUCUUUGAACGCACAUUGCGCCCGCCAGCACUCUGGCGGGCAUGCCUGUUCGAGCGUCAUUUCAACCAUCAAGCCCCAGGCUUGCGUUGGAGCCCUGCGGCUGCCGCAGCCUCCUAAAACCAGUGGCGGGCUCGCUAGUCACACCGAGCGCAGUAGCACAUCUCGCUCAGGGCGUGCGGCGGGCUCCUGCCGUGAAACCCCCCACUGUAACCCCAAAGGUUGACCUCGGAUCAGGUAGGAAUACCCGCUGAACUUAAGCAUAUCAAUAAGCGGAGGA
rnacentral:misc_RNA from 1 species